GAUGAACGCUAGCUACAGGCUUAACACAUGCAAGUCGAGGGGAAACGACAUCGAAAGCUUGCUUUUGAUGGGCGUCGACCGGCGCACGGGUGAGUAACGCGUAUCCAACCUGCCCACCACUUGGGGAUAACCUUGCGAAAGUAAGACUAAUACCCAAUGACGUCUCUAGACGACAUCUGAAGGAGAUUAAAGAUUUAUCGGUGAUGGAUGGGGAUGCGUCUGAUUAGCUUGUUGGCGGGGUAACGGCCCACCAAGGCGACGAUCAGUAGGGGUUCUUAGAGGAAGGUCCCCCACAUUGGAACUGAGACACGGUCCAAACUCCUACGGGAGGCAGCAGUGAGGAAUAUUGGUCAAUGGGCGAGAGCCUGAACCAGCCAAGUAGCGUGCAGGAUGACGGCCCUAUGGGUUGUAAACUGCUUUUAUAAGGGAAUAAAGUGAGUCUCGUGAGACUUUUUGCAUGUACCUUAUGAAUAAGGACCGGCUAAUUCCGUGCCAGCCGCCGCUGUAA
rnacentral:rRNA from 1 species